rnacentral:rRNA from 1 species
CCUUUGUACACACCGCCCGUCGCUACUACCGAUUGAAUGGCUCAGUGAGGCCUUCGGACUGGCUCAGGGAGGUCGGCAACGACCACCCAGAGCCGGAAAGUUCGUCAAACUUGGUCAUUUAGAGG